CGUUACCAUUAAGCCAUUAAGCUUCGGUUCGGUUCGGUUUUCGGUUUCGGAUCGGUUUUGAACACCCCUAAUCCCUACUACAGAAAACUUCAAAAAUUCUCUAUACCCACGACAAGUUUUUAACCAACUCAUAGCGCAAUAGAAUAACCUGAAAUCUUAAUCCAAGACUUAACAAUAUGAUAAAACAUUAUUAACAUGAAGGAGUAAGUAGAAUACAUAUAUGAAAGCUAAACUAUUACAUAUUAAUGAAAUUAGGGAACAUAGGAACAAGAUUCAACAGGCAACACAUAUUCAGUAGAUUUCCAUAUUGGAUUGCACAUUUACACUUCACAUGUUGUUCAUAAUCCAAGAAGUACAUGAAGGUCAAAAUAAAAUAAAAGAGGAAUAGGAUUUCAGCAGUAGCAGAAGGAUGAGCAAAUCAACAACUCAACACAUCAAUACUCAACUCCCUUAAACCAUCUUUAACCCCAGAUAAUCAGUAUCCCUUAGAACUUUUAAGUUUUUACUGAAGUGAAAACCAAGUAGCAAUUUUAAACGAUUUCUAACCAAAAAUGAUGCAGAACUUCGAGUAUUUUUUCAGGGUCUAAAUGAAUGAUUUUUUGAGUGAAAGAAUGGUCUAUAUAUAACCCUUUGGAUUCCAUGUGCUGCUGAAAAUAGAAUGAGAAUUAUUCCAUCACACAAGCAUCUUUUUAGCUACCUUUACAACUAGCUAUCACUUAUUGGCUCAACAUUUUUGUGCUAAUCCAAUGGGGACAGCUGCCCCAGGUUCUACAACCUUCCUAGAUACCUUUUUAAACGAAAACACGAUUUAUAUCUUUCCCAGCCCCUUUAAGCUCUUCCUUAUACCAUUGAAUUCCCAAACUUCCAAUUGCAUAUAAAUUAAUACUAACAAAGAGAAACCAAAACUGGCACAAUUUGACUAAUUGAAAGUACCAAACCCUUAGCUACUGAUUCUUGAAUUAACUCGUAACUUAAACAAUUUUAUUACUAAGAGAAAUCAAAAAUGGCACAGCAAUUAAAUAGAUGAAACCAAAAUUAACAUUAUUUAAUGACUGAACUAUCCCUGAGGCUCUAACCUUUUGAAUCGGGUUACACACGGCAAUUUACAAAUAAUAACAGUACAAUGAGAUAGAUUAGCAUGCUAAUUCCAAACGAGUUUUCCUAAGCAUGAACUAAACCCAUCUAGAUAAACCCUAACCAAUCAAAAACUGAAUAUUUAAUGAUAUCGAUAGAAAAUUCACGAACUAACCCUAAAAUACUGGCUACCAACAAUGAUUAAGCACAGAAGUCAACAAAUAAUCUUAAAAUGCUAAAAACCCUAAGCCAUGUUGACUAAACAGUCAUGAAGUCAAGAAGAAAAAAAUCAAGAGAAAGGGAAAGAAAAUAACAGAGGGAAACAAACACGAUAAAAUAAGAAAGAAUUACCUAUGUUUUCUCCAAACGGAAUCCACUAAGAACUAACCACAUACUGACCACGAAAGGAAAGGGGGAAAGCUUAGUGCUUUUCCAAAACCCUUGAUUCAAAAUUUGACAUAAUUGGGGUUGAUUUCAGAGGAACCAAAGGUAUAUUUGGGGAGAGGAUGAGUGAUGGACUGCAUGGUGUGAGUUUAGGGUUGUUUGGGCGAGUUAGGUUUUUAGAGCUUCUGAGAUUAGAUCCAACAUUCGGUAGGUUUGAGGGGGAUUUGGAGAAGAAGACUAGGAGGUUUGGAACGAGGAGGGUGAGGGGAUCCUGUGGUGCUAAUUUCGGAGAGGAUCAGAGUGGUUUGGGGCGUCGCCGCCAGUGGAGACGGUUGAGAUUUUGGGGCAGAGGCUAGGGUUUUUAUGCUUGGACUUGAGAGAUACAAAAUGGGGAGUGUCGAAUGCGGG
rnacentral:lncRNA from 1 species